UCCACGCUGGCGGCGUGCCUCAGACAUGCAAGUCGAACGAUUAAACUUUCCUUCGGGAAAGAUAUAAAGUGGCGCACGGGUGAGUAACACGCAGGUAAUGUACCGGAGGGUGGGGAAUAACUUAGGGAAACUUAAGCUAAUACCGCAUAAUGCAGCGGCUCGACAUCGAGACAGUUGUUAAAGGAGCAAUCCGCCUUUUGAGCAGCCUGCGGCAGAUUAGCUAGUUGGUAAGGUAAUGGCUUACCAAGGCUACGAUCUGUAACCGACCUGAGAGGGUGGUCGGUCACACUGACACUGAAGAACGGGUCAGACUCCUACGGGAGGCAGCAGUCGGGAAUUUUGGGCAAUGGGCGAAAGCCUGACCCAGCAACGCCGCGUGAAGGAUGAAGUAUUUCGGUAUGUAAACUUCGUAAGAAUAGGAAGAAUAAAUGACGGUACUAUUUGUAAGGUCCGGCUAACUACGU
rnacentral:rRNA from 1 species